CAGUAGCCGCGGUAAUACGAAGGGUGCAAGCGUUAAUCGGAAUUACUGGGCGUAAAGCGUGCGUAGGCGGUUUGUUAAGUCUGUUGUGAAAUUCCCGGGCUCAACCUGGGAAUGGCAAUGGAUACUGGCAAGCUAGAGUGUGUCAGAGGAUGGUGGAAUUCCCGGUGUAGCGGUGAAAUGCGUAGAGAUCGGGAGGAACAUCAGUGGCGAAGGCGGCCAUCUGGGACAACACUGACGCUGAGGCACGAAAGCGUGGGGAGCAAACAGGAUUAGAUACCCCCGUAGUCCCUGUCUCUUAUAC
rnacentral:rRNA from 1 species